UCCACGUAGCCCAUAUAUCGCUUUCGUUGUUGUUCUGGAUUGCAUUUCUUGGGUUAUUGUCGCUCACCUUUUUAAACAGUUGGUAACUGUCCUGUCAGGUGAUCAAAUUCCCAACCAAACACCCUUUCCCCCUAUUUGAAUUUCACACAAUUUGAAAUUCAAGUCCGACGAUCACUUUGCUCAUCGCGUGGAAACCACUUUCCUUUGUUUUUUAAUUGCGUUUUCAUUUACGUGUGGUCAACGCUCGGGUAAGACAAGUGGUGCUUGUUUCAAACUGCUGGCAAAAGAACCUAUAUCCAAUGUAAAAGAAGAGUUGGUCUUAUGGUUUUAAUUUUGAAAAAAUAAUAUUUAAUCACCGCACGCUGCCAAAUCACGAAGAAAUUAACGCCCAUGAUCUAAUGCUUGUAUUUGAUCAAGUCUGUUCAUAUUAAUUUAAAUAGAAAACCGAAAACCACUAAACAAAAAACCAGAUGGAUUUUGGAAACUCUCUCUCUCUCUCUCUCUCUUCAUUAACCUUUUCUCCGUUAUAUUCAGAUAAUCAUUUAUUCGCCAUUAGCGAAACUCUCUCUUUCGCUUUUGUCAUGCGUUUCUUAGGAAGUUUGACUCUUUGAACCCUCUGCUUCUUUUUUUUCUUUUUAAACUGUUUACCUGAAGAGAGAGUGGGAGGUGAAAUGGCGUCGGGAUUCUCU
rnacentral:lncRNA from 1 species